GGAAUUAGACAAUGUCACGUCAGAAACUUCCAUCUGCGAGAUAUGCCCAACCCUGCUCGGGGUAAUGAAGUGUUAUAGGUGGUGGUUCAAUCGCUUUUCCGAAUGGCAGUAGUGGGGGAAUGCUGCCUGUGUGGUGUGUAGGUGUAUGAAAAUAACGUACUGAAUAAUUCCUGGCCUUUAAAUGUUUAUCCAUUUUUAUACGAACUACUUUGUUGAGUGAUUGAAUAUCGCAAAAAACUAAUUACAUGUAGGCAAUGACUUCCACGGAAGGGGUAAGCAUUUUCUGUACAAGUCAACUAUAAAAACUGAGAUGUCUGACGUCUUCUAGUUGGAUUCUGGAGAGUCCACUAGAAUGUCAGUCAGUGAUAUCAGUCAGUCAGUCUAAUGAUAUCAAUCAAAAAGAGAUCCAUCAUGACCAGGAGCAUAAUUGAAUCGACAUCAAUCGCCUAGGAUUUCGGGUGAUUUCUACAAUUGUACAUAAAUUUUUUUAUGAAUGAUAAAUUAAUUGCAAAUAGUGAAUUUGAUGAUUAAUUGUAUAUAAUAUCUGAGAUUUAAUUGUAUAUUAAAAUUUUGCAAACCAUUAUAUGUUGAGGAUUUUUGUCCAACAACGAAGUCAUACCAUGGCUAACAUGUGACAGAAUAAAAUCUCUUGAUCAUCUGGCAACGGUCAUAGAAUUACUGAAUAAGUUGCUUUUUUUAUGAAUCAUUUUUUGUUCCGUAAUUGUAUAAUUUGUGACAUGCAAUGUGUGUAAUAAAAAAAAACAUGAAAACCGAAAA